rnacentral:rRNA from 1 species
UACGUAGGUGGCAAGCGUUAUCCGGAUUUAUUGGGCGUAAAGGGAACGCAGGCGGUCUUUUAAGUCUGAUGUGAAAGCCUUCGGCUUAACCGGAGUAGUGCAUUGGAAACUGGGAGACUUGAGUGCAGAAGAGGAGAGUGGAACUCCAUGUGUAGCGGUGAAAUGCGAAGAUAUAUGGAAGAACACCAGUGGCGAAAGCGGCUCUCUGGUCUGUAACUGACGCUGAGGUUCGAAAGCGUGGGUAGCAAACAGG